UUGCAGUUAAAAAGCUCGUAGUUGGAUUUUGGUGUUUGACAAAUGGUCUGCCUUCGGGUCUGCACUGUUUGUUGGCACUUCUUUUCUGGGGAACUCACUGCUCUUAAUUGAGGGGUGCUGUAACGCAGAUCGUUUACUUUGAAAAAAUUAGAGUGUUCAAAGCAGGCCAACGCAUUGAAUACAUUAGCAUGGAAUAAUGGAAUAGGACUUUGGUCUUAUUUUGUUGGUUUCUAAGGCCGAGGUAAUGAUUAAUAGGGAUAGUUGGGGGCGUUUAUAUUCCGUUGUCAGAGGUGAAAUUCUUGGAUUUACGGAAGAUAAACUACUGCGAAAGCAUUCGCCAAGGAUGUUUUCAUUAAUCAAGACCGAAAGUUAGGGGAUCGAAGACGAUCAGAUACCGUCGUAGUCUUAACCAUAAACCAUGCCGACUAGGGAUCAGCAGACGUUCUUUAACGACUCUGUUGGCACCUUGUGAGAAAUCAAAGUUUUUGGGUUCCGGGGGGAGUAUGGUCGCAAGGCUGAAACUUAAAGGAAUUGACGGAAGGGCACCACCAGGAGUGGAGCCUGCGGCUUAAUUUGACUCACCACGGGG
rnacentral:rRNA from 1 species